GGUCUACUCUAAUGCCAGGCAUUGUAACGCCAAAAUGUCUGGCCUCGCUUGUAGACCAGAAUAUUCCACACUGCGAAUAAACCCAGGAGAUUGGCCAUGCCCAUGGCUUCUCUCCUUAUUCAAGUGUUACA
rnacentral:snoRNA from 1 species